rnacentral:rRNA from 1 species
AGUGAAGCGAACCCGCCGAGGGGGAGGCAAAGCNCAAAAAAACAAGUCCCAGUUCGGAUUGCGGUCUGCAACUCGACCGCAUGAAGUCGGAAUCGCUAGUAAUCGCGAAUCAGAAUGUCGCGGUGAAUACGUUCCCGGGUCUUGUACACACCGCCCGUCACACCAUGGGAGUUGGAAGCGCCCGAAGUCUGUGACCUAACCGAAAGGGAGGAGCAGCCGAAGGUGAAGCCAGUGACUGGGGUGAAGUCGUAACAAGGUAGC